rnacentral:piRNA from 1 species
UAAAAGCAGCCUAUCGAAACCCUAGCCUAACC